rnacentral:lncRNA from 1 species
GGGUGUGUGCUUUACUGCAUGAUAUCCGGACGAAUAAUUAUACGAAUUCAUGUUUAAUUAUUAAAAUUCUUAAUAAAGUCGUGAACAAAAGGAGCCUGUUGUUCAAUAUAAAGUCAAACCGUGUGUGCUUGACCCACUGAUCUGAAGCAUGUAGCAGCGGGUGACCCCCGCUCAGGAGUGGACUCGUCCGCGGAGCGCCGUUCUGCUCGCUUCAGGCAAACUGCGGUUUCUGGAAAUCAGCGGAUUUUCUAGAUUUGAAGAAAUGUGAUAAAUCAGCGGAUCGUGUCGUCAUGAGCGACCGACAAGCGACGCCUCACAGCGGGCAGUGCAGACCGAGAAUGAGCAGUGUACAGAUGGAGGAUCGCAACAUGUUGCGUCUGAUGGAGAGGGAGAGACGCAGUCAGGAGGUGCAGCUGGAGGAGACGCAGUAUGACAGAAUCGCUCCUCUCUUCAACAAGCCGUAUAAGAGAAUCAAAGAUGACGAGCUGUCGAGUCGCAUCCAGACGAUGCUGGGUAAUUAUGAGGAUGGAUAUGAUGGACCUGAGGACGCUGCGCUUCCUUACGAGCGCUCCACGCAGUUCCCUCAGGCGCAGUCAGGACACACGGAUCGCUCCAGAGCCGCCUCCGGCCCUGCUUCAGGAGAGAGCUGGGACAGUUUCCCAGCCCUGUCUCCUCUGCGGUCCAGCGACUCGGACACCGGCCCGUCUCCGGAGCGGCCUCCGCUGAACCUGCACAGUAAACUGGCGAAGGCCAAGAAACCCACAGCGUACGUGAGGCCGAUGGACGGUCCGGAUCAGGUGACCAGCGACUCUCCUGAACUGAAGGCCUCACUGGAGUCGUAUGAGCACUUACAGGACCUGAAGGAGAGCAGCAAACCAAACCUUGCCCCUCUGCAGGCUGCUGAUAUAGUGUCUGGAGCGCGUGUGGAGGACAUUCUGCAGGAAAUGACCUCAUGGCCUCCACUGCUGACGACCAUUUGCUCGCCAACCACAGCCGAGCCGCCCAAGGUCCUCUCCACUAACGAGGAGACACAUGGAUUACCGGCCCUCGAAGCUCAUGAAUCAUCAGACAAAGUUCAGCUGGAAUCUCAGUGAGUAUCAGAUCAGAUCUUUGUCUUGAGCUCAUGUGAAGGUGCUACAAAAAGGUCAAGAUGAAGAUUUCUCCCCUCUCUCUUCAGCUACUGUUUUAACUUUACUCUGUGUGUGUGUGUGUGUGUGUGUGUGUGUGUGUGUGCGCGCGCGCGCGUGCACCUGUGUGUGUGUGCACCUGUGUGUGUGUGCACCUGUGUGUGUGUG